CUAGGUUUUGAUCCCUCAAUCAUUCGUACAGGUUGUCGGGGAUACUUAGCAAGCACUGUAAGACAUAUGUAACUCAUUGUUAAGCAGUACCAAGGUCCAACAAUAGUGAGCAGGUUGAUGUGAGAAGAUGUGAG